CCUGAAAUGAACAAGAAAAUUAUUUAUUAUAAUGAGAGUCCACCCUAAAAGGAAUAACAGUGUAAACUGAGAGUGUCACAUUAUGUCUCUGGAUAAACUCCAAAUACUGCCAUCUCUGAGAGAAAAUCCAUUUGCACCUUUACCUAACAUAGAUGAUCUCAAGGAAAAGGGAUUUGCAAGAUCACAAAGUACACCCUCAAAGUCCUUUAGACAAAUAGCAAUUGGUGAUGCUAAGAGACAGAUCUGGUUCUUUGUUCUUCAAUAUGUGGAAACAACUCUCCCUGACAGUGAAACGUGCAUCUCAAUGCCCAUACAGAAUUAAAGAGAAGGAACCUGUUCACAGUUCUCAGGUGAGGUAUGGCAUAGUCGCAAUGUUAUCAGAUCCUGAAAACAUAAAGAAGGGACAGAUUUUAGGCAGAUGUUAGACGGACUUCAAGUUGUCAUCAUGUUACAAGACAUUUAUAGCAUGCUCUGUUAUGAUCAAAUUUGAAAUGUCCUUCAUAUACAAGGUAUAAUUUCACCUACCAUUUUUACAGUGAUCUGUUCCAUCUCUUCCUCUGUUUUUUCUCUUAAGCACUCAACCAGAGCAGCAGAACUGGAUUUUUCACAGCCAGAUGCAGCAGCAAUUCUCUGCAAUCAAUAAAAACAAGUCACAUCCUCAUUUACUAAUUAUCCAUGUACUUCCCAUUGAAGGGCUCUAUCUGCCACUUAGUCUGGAGUGCAUCUCAGUUUCUCAGAAAGGACUGUGAAAGCCAGAAGUGUUUCAGUUGUAGAUGCUGAGAUAGGAAGCUUUCAUAAUCUUUCAUGUUGCGGACUGAACAGAAAGACAAAACCUACUCCUCCAAAAUAUCUCCUCCCUUCACUAACAGACCAAGGUAGUUGUGCUGGUAUGUAACAAACGGGGCUGAAAAGUCUGGAUGGCAUAAGGUAGUUUAGAGUAAUGCAUAGAAUAUAACUAUGUAGAUGAUGAAAAAAAUAGAGCGCAUUACACCCUUCUCAAUGAUGCAUAGUCUUUUUAAAUGAGGGAAUGCUAUUUCUCAGCUGUCGUUAGACAGAUAGACCUCAGUGCAAUGCUGCCUCUUCUACAAAACAAAGCUCUUGGAGGUUGUUUCUUACAGAUGGGUAAGACUGAUUGGAACUGGGCUCUUCUUUCUCAUUAUAACUAAGCUGAGUACGGUUCCGUUCCUUGGAGCACAUCAGGCUCCAUCAGGAAGGAAAGAGAACAGUAUUGAGUAUCUGGUGCCAUUUCCCAGUUAAAAAUAACAGCUUAAUUUUUAAUGAAGGCAGUAUACUCUACUCCUUUACAUUUCAAACUCAUUCACUGCCUUCUCUCUCCGCUUCCUCAGUCUUCUGCUUUCAUUCAGACAUCUGUGGAUAAUUGGGUAUUUGAAAAGCAAUGUUACACUGAACGUGUAUUACUGCAAACAGGAAUGCUGAAUCUAAUGAAUGUGGUUGAAAUUCCACAAGAAAAACAAUCAAGUUCCACAUUUUGGAUUAAACCAUUUAAGGUGCUCAACACUAUCUGAGAAAUAAAUAUGAUACAAAACACCCACCUGUGCUUCUUCCUCAGGCCUUUCAGUGAAUAAAAGCCUGAUUGCAACACCACUCUCUGAAAUGGCCCUAUGGAACAAGCCCUUUGCCAGUGGAGAUAAGACCUGGAAAUAAAAAGCACCAUCCAUAAAGAAGAACAAGCGUUACUGGGGAUGCAUUCUGAUCACUGACACAGAAUUUCAAUAUCAGAAACUGCCUUUUUUGAAAACAUGUCAUCCAACUGUUACUCUAUAGCCUCUUAUCAUAGCUCCCUGGUGCAAAGUUCUCUGCCAGCAUUAACAGGGAUAGGUUCAUGCCUGCCCUUUCCCCUCCAGUAGCACUUUGCCUUCAAGACUUCACAGAACAACAGUGCAGGCCAGAUAUGCAUCAGGUAUAGCUCUGUCCAACAGAGCAGCUGUGCUGCUGAAGGGGAAAAACAACUACAAUGGAGGAGUAAGGAGCAAACUGACAUUCAAAUUUGAAGAUGACAUAUAACAUUUAGGGUUCUAAACAACAUCAUUUGGUACAAAUAGACUUUCAACACUCAGAAACUGCGCUGUUAUCACAUAGUGUAUCAGAACAAGGACAUGUGUGGUUUAUCCUAAAGCCACCCACUUUUUCUCACUGAUUUUUCAUUUAUGUACUAAGAAUGACCAUGGACAGUGUUUUUUUUUCUCAAAUGAUUAACAUUCAUGCUUGUGAUGAACUCACCAGAGCAGAUACACUGAUUCCCCCUGCAGAUUCUCCAAAGAUGGUGACGGAUCCCGGGUCUCCUCCAAAGUGUAUGAUAUUUUCCUGAAUCCACUGAAGAGCUGCCACUUGGUCCAAAUACCCCCAGUUACCACGAGCAUGCUUAUCACCAGUGCUGGGAAGAAAUAACAGAUUUCUUUAAGUGCUUGAUAUGAAAGAAAACAACGCAGAGAUAAAGACAAUGUGCAGGAUAAGGAAAGAGCUGUUAAAGAGCAUAUCUAUAAUUAAAAAAAAAAAA